GGCUCAUAUUAUGCAAGUUCAAAGCUGUGCCACCACACGAGAUGCGAUGUGCUCAAUUGGUCUGAAGUAGAAGGCUCGGAAGGUCGAUUCCCGAGACCAAUCCGCUGCUCGCAUAAUGUCCUCCAGGCGACAUCCGACUGAAGAGGCUUUCGAGGCCAUCGCGCCCCUUACAGAAUGAGGCGUAAAUACUGAGGUGUCUAUACCCGCGGAGGAUAGCAGCCAGCGCACCCAACGUGCUAGAGUAGGAGUUGAAACCGGUCGGUGAGGUGAUUUAAAGGAUAUGAACAGAUCGUGCAGGUCUGUCAUGCGAAGGGGACGUGUAACAUCCAGAUAGUCCUUGAUGCAAUCCACCGGGCAGAGCGCUGGACAGUCUGAAAACCUAGGCAGAGGGGCAGAUACGGGAUCCAUUGCCCGUUCCAUGCACCAACCAGACCAUGAUCUCCAUGAAUGUCGGUAAGCUGUCCAUGUACCCGGGGCCCAGGCGUUAUCGAGGAGUCGGAGAGUUGACUGCGAAACGUCUGGGAUAACCCAAGGUCCCCUGAAAGGAACCACGCUAUGAGGGGCAGCUGAUGCUGCAACACCAGGUCGUGAGAGUUCCCAUCCGGAUCCAGAAGGAGGUCUUGGAAUACCGGAAGCAAACGAGGGUAGUCUAUGGACAGUUCCAUCAGCCGAGGGAACCAUGGGCGAGACCUCCAUAGAGGGGUGAUCAAAGCCAUCCGACAAUCGUGGCGGACCAGUUUCGAGAUCGUGCGUGCGAUCAUGUUGAAUGGGGGAAAGGCGUACAUCAGACCUGGUGGCCAUUCUUGGAGGAAGGCAUCUGUCGCUAUUGCAGCCGGGUCCGGCCUCCAACUGUAGAACCUCGGUAGCUGAGUGUUCAGGCAUGACGCGAAUAGGUCCAACUGGAACCGGCCCCACAACCUGUUCAGGCACUGGAACACUGAAGCGUGUAGAUGCCAGUCCCCGGAGUCCCGUAAGUGUCUGGAAUUCCAAUCCGCCCCCGAAUUGUCCAGACCUGGGAUGUGUUCCGCUGUCACCGAAAUGUUGUUGUAGAGGCAGAACUGCCAAAAAUCCUUUGCCAGAGUCGCCAACAUUUUGGAUUUCGUGCCCCCUAGGUGAUUUAUGUAACGAACUGCUGAUACGUUGUCCAUCUUGAGGAGAACGCAACAAUUCGCCCUCCCCGGGGCAAGGCUGCGGAUCGCGAAGGUACCUGCCAGAAGUUCCAAGCAGUUGAUGUGUAACGACUUCUCUGUGUCGGACCACCUUCCUCCUGUGGAGACGUCGCCACAACGAGCGCCCCAGCCGUGUAAGCUGGCAUCGGACUCUAUCACCACAUCCGGGGCCGAACCGAAGAUGGCUCUUCCGUUCCAUGCUUCCAUGUGCGCCAACCACCACGCUAGUUCGUCCCUGGACUCCUCGUCCAGCGUUAUCCGAGAUUCGUAUGAAUGACCGGAGCGAAGUCGUGAUCCCUUGAGCCGUUGGAGCGCUCGGUAAUGCAGGGGGCCUGGGAAGAUUGCUUGAAUAGAGGCCGCGAGAAGGCCGAUAAUUCUCGCCAGUUGUCUGACCGACAAAUCUGGAAUACGGAGGGCCCUCCGAAUUUCCUUCUGGAUGGCUUUUACCUUGGCAUCCGGGAGGAACAGGAACUGUUGGAUGGAAUCCACUUGAAAACCCAGAAACUCUAUGGACUGGGCAGGGACCAGGACCGACUUGCUCCAAUUGAUCAGAAAUCCCAACUUCUGCAGAAGGUCGGUCGUCCAUCCCAGGUGUAUGAGGAGAUCCUCUCGUGACUGGGAUAAGAUCAAGAUAUCGUCCAGGUAGAUAAUGAGGCGAACCCCCCGGGUUCAGAGGAAGGUCACCACGGGCUUCAUGAGCUUGGUGAAGCACCAAGGGGCCGAGGAGAGACCGAAAGGCAGGCAGGUGAAGCGCCAACGACGCCCAUGCCAGGUGAAGUGGAGAUAAUCCCGGAACUCCAAAGCGAUGGGGACCGUAAAGUAUGCGUCCUUCAGGUCCAGCUUGGCCAACCAGUCCGAUUGACGUAGGAGGUCUCUGAGGCAGUGUAUACCUUCCCAUUGGAAGUGUUGGUAGCGUAGAAAAGCGUUGAGUGGGCGAAGAUUUAUGACAGGGCGAACACCGCCUCCUUUCUUGGGCACUAGGAAUAAAUUGCUCGUAAAGCCUGGGGCGGCGAACGGCAACUCCUCUAUAGCGCCCUUGGACAGCAUCUCCACCACUUCCGUGGAAAUCAUCUCGUCCUGCUCCGGAGGGAGGGACAGUUCUCUGGGGGAAUAAAACUGGACAGUCAUGGAAACAAACUCCAGACGAAAACCCCUUACACAUUGUAAAACCCAAGCAUCUGAGGUGAUCUUUGCCCAUUCUUGACAAAAUAAGGCCAGUCUCCCCGCCACCCGAACUUGAGCGUGAGGGAAAGAAAGGGUACUCACCGUAAGGACGUCUGCCGGGGGUACCACCGCGGGGGUAUCUGGAUCCCCAGGCCCGACCUCUUGUCGGGAAGAAGGGAGGGGCUCUCUGUUCCUGAAAUCCUCUCGAGGGAAAGAAGGAACCUCUGGUUGCGCGGAAUGCGCCUCGGAAACCACGGCCGGGUGGGCGGUUCCUGCUACGCCCGGCCCCUCCGAAAACCUUAGGCGCGAACACUCGCUUCAUGUUCGCCUGUGCCUUGUCAAUAGCCGUAAAGGUCUUGACAUAAGCACCCAUAUCCUUAACGAAGGACGUGCCAAACAGGAGACCCUCCUCAGUUGGAUCAGGCUCCGCCACAGUCAUAGCGGC